rnacentral:rRNA from 1 species
GACGAACGCUGGCGGCGUGCUUAACACAUGCAAGUCGAGCGGAAAGGCCCUUCGGGGUACUCGAGCGGCGAACGGGUGAGUAACACGUGAGUAAUCUGCCCUUCACUCUGGGAUAGCCACCGGAAACGGUGAUUAAUACCGGAUACGACCACCGUGGGCAUCCACUGGUGGUGGAAACUUUUUUGGGUGGGGGAUGUGCUCGCGGCCUAUCAGCUUGUUGGUGGGGUAAUGGCCUACCAAGGCUUCGACGGGUAGCCGGCCUGAGAGGGUGACCGGCCACACUGGGACUGAGACACGGCCCAGACUCCUACGGGAGGCAGCAGUGGGGAAUAUUGGACAAUGGGCGGAAGCCUGAUCCAGCAACGCCGCGUGAGGGAUGACGGCCUUCGGGUUGUAAACCUCUUUCAGCACCGACGAAGCGCAAGUGACGGUAGGUGCAGAAGAAGGACCGGCCAACUACGUGCCAGCCGCCGCGGUAAGAC